rnacentral:rRNA from 1 species
UGGGGAAUAUUGGACAAUGGGCGCAAGCCUGAUCCAGCCAUGCCGCGUGAGUGAUGACGGCCUUAGGGUUGUAAAGCUCUUUCGCCAGGGACGAUAAUGACGGUACCUGGAUAAGAAGCCCCGGCUAACUUCGUGCCAGCAGCCGCGGUAAUACGAAGGGGGCUAGCGUUGUUCGGAAUUACUGGGCGUAAAGCGCGUGUAGGCGGGUCUUUAAGUCAGGGGUGAAAUGCCAAGGCUCAACCUUGGAACUGCCUUUGAUACUGGAGAUCUUGAGUCCGGGAGAGGUGAGUGGAAUUGCGAGUGUAGAGGUGAAAUUCGUGGAUAUUCGCAAGAACACCAGUGGCGAAGGCGGCUCACUGGCCCGGAACUGACGCUGAGACGCGAAAGCGUGGGGAGCAAACAGGAUUAGAUACCCUGGUAGUCCACGCUGUAAACGAUGGAUGCUAGCCGUUGGGGAGCUUGCUCUUCAGUGGCGCAGCUAACGCUUUAAGCAUCCCGCCUGGGGAGUACGGUCGCAAGA